rnacentral:rRNA from 1 species
AUAUCAAUAAGCGGAGGAAAAGAAACUAACAAGGAUUCCCCUAGUAACGGCGAGUGAAGCGGCAAGAGCCCAAGCUGGAAAUCUUCACACUGCGUGUGACGAAUUGUAAUCUAAAGAGGGUUCGCUCAACGGGCGGUGGCGCAGAAGUGCCUUAGAACGGGCCGCCAGAGAGGGUGAAGCCAG